rnacentral:rRNA from 1 species
UACGAAGGGGGCGAGCGUUGUUCGGAUUUACUGGUCGUAAAGGGCGCGCAGGCGGCUCAUUUUGUCAGGCGUGAAAGCCCCGGGCUUAACCUGGGAACUGCGUUUGAUACGGAUGGGCUAGAGUUCGGGAGAGGAGAGUGGAAUUCCCAGUGUAGAGGUGAAAUUCGUAGAUAUUGGGAAGAACACCGGUGGCGAAGGCGGCUCUCUGGACCGAUACGGACGCUGAGGCGCGAAAGCGUGGGGAGCAAACAGG